rnacentral:rRNA from 1 species
GGGUCAGUAGGCUGGUCGUGCCACCGGUACGUACUGGUCUCACUGAUUCCUCCUUCCUGAAGAACCGUAAUGCCAUUAUUUUGGUGUUGCGGGGAAUCAGGACUGUUACUUUGAAAAAAUUAGAGUGUUUAAAGCAAGCUAACGCUUGAAUACAUUAGCAUGGAAUAAUGAAAUAGGACGAUCGAUCCUAUUUUGUUGGUUUCGAGGAUUGACGUA